AUGAACGCUGGCGGCGUGCCUAAUACAUGCCGGUCGAGCGCACGGACGAGAAGCUUGCUUCUCUGAUGUUAGCGGCGGACGGGUGAGUAACACGUGGAUAACCUACCUAUAAGACUGGGAUAACUUCGGGAAACCGGAGCUAAUACCGGAUAAUAUUUUGAACCGCAUGGUUCAAAAGUAAAAGACGGUCUUGCUGUCACUUAUAGAUGGAUCCGCGCUGCAUUAGCUAGUUGGUAAGGUAACGGCUUACCAAGGCAACGAUGCAUAGCCGACCUGAGAGGGUGAUCGGCCACACUGGAACUGAGACACGGUCCAGACUCCUACGGGAGGCAGCAGUAGGGAAUCUUCCGCAAUGGGCGAAAGCCUGACGGAGCAACGCCGCGUGAGUGAUGAAGGUCUUCGGAUCGUAAAACUCUGUUAUUAGGGAAGAACAUAUGUGUAAGUAACUGUGCACAUCUUGACGGUACCUAAUCAGAAAGCCACGGCUAACUACGUG
rnacentral:rRNA from 1 species